CAUAUUCAAACGUUAGUAAAUACCAUUAAAUUUUUAAAAAGCUUACAAAAAUCGUUACCUAUUAUCAGAUAGCUCUCAAAAUCGAAACCCUUAUGCCAUGAAAUUUCUUUGCAAAAACCACUCACAAUCGUUCUCACUCUCACUCUCAUGUUGUGAAACCACCUCUUGCUCUUCCUCAGUCAUCUCUUGUUCUGCCUCUCCGAUCCCUCACUCUGCCUCAUCGAUCUCACAAUUCGUAAAUCGAAACCACAAUCGCGUGAUUCCUCGUCUUUGCCACCAUCGCAGGCUCUCAUCGGAAUUUGGAACGACCUGGAGGAGAUCAGCGGUAACUUCAAGAACUCUCUAUCGCUUCUCUCAUCCAACAGAGCCGUCACGGGGAUCUCCAAACUCACCUCUCAGCUGUUGCAGCUGGAGCCCGACCACAAACGGCAAGGUGACGUCAACGGCGAUGGCGACGCGGUGCCUGGUACGACGGAGGAGGUUGUUCGUUUCGUCAAGGAAAUUUCCACGUGACCUAAUUGUUGGACUGAAUUCCCCUUGCCAUUCCAUCACGGAAAGUUCUUGCAACAUUGAGGAUCAUGUCAGAACCAGUUAAACUUCUGAUUCUGAGGCUCUACCAGGAAGUGGUGGUUCUAAUGCUAACAACUAAUGGCGUGGUUUCUUCAAGCUUCUCAAGAAAGGCUCACAGAUGCCAUUUCAACCAUUUCACCUUCUUAAAAAGAAUGUUCCUAAGUUAACUAGAAAGAAGAGUAAGAGGGUUAGAUAGGAUCUCAUUCCUUCUUUUUUUGACUCUGAGUUUGCUAACUUCAAAUUUUCAUGGAAGAAUUUCACUCUCUCUGAACUCCAGGCUGCAACUGAUGACUUCAGCCAUGAUAAUGUAAUUGGGGAGGGAGGGUAUGCAGAGGUAUACUUAGGAAAAUUUGAAGAUGGAACCUUUGUUGCCAUAAAGAAGCUGACAAGAGGGAACCAAGAAGAAAUGACUGCAGAAUUUUUGUCUAAGCUUGGAAUCAUAUGCUGCAUUUCAUCUUUGCUUAGUAAAUUCUGUCUCUCUUCCACAUUGCACAAUGCAUUGAGCAAGGUACUUCAUUAGGAUCAAAUGAUCGAACAUGUUGUGCAAGCUGGUGCAGAAUAGUUGUAAUUAUCCAAUUUUGACAGUCACUGGCAACAAGUUAAUGAUUCAAGGGUAGAGAUAUAGUCAGUGGCUCAGUUUCUGCAGCAAAAUCAGCGAAGUCAACUGAGGCUUCUCCAAGAAAUCCAGAUUUUGAAGAUCCCUGCAGGGGAGGUUAAAAGUUAGACCCUCUAUUCGACGUCCUAGUGCGGUAGACUAUAUAGUAUGCAAUUACAAAUCUAUAGCUUAUAGUUGAAACGAUGAAAUGAUAGAUUUUUUCCUGUAGUUUUCCUGAUUUUGUGUCUCUAACGAAUUUAACUGUUUCAAAAAUUGGUUUAUCCCAUAAACAGGAUCCACCACGGAUAGCAACUUUCUCUAGUUUAACUGUUGGCUUCCCAGCACCAUCUGGAACCAAAGCUAUCAUCAGUACCGCUUUUUCAUCUUUGGCACCUGAUACAAAGGAGAAGAGAACAAGGUAAGAUACUGUAGACAGAAUCUGUUCAUAGGCAUGACAUGCCCAGACAGCCCAGUGUAUGUUAGCUUUCAUACUUCUUAACCAUCUAUGGGAUCCACUGUAUCUUUCAAACUUCCUGGUAAAUAUGUUUUGAGUAAAAGCUGGGACAAACCCCAUUUUUGGAUUUAAUAUAAGAUAAGAUGGCAUAAAAACUUUGUUAUGCCUUAGUGAGUGUUACCUGAGUUGCCUGAAAUUGCAGUUUGAAUACAGCUUUUAUUUUGUUCUUCUUGCUCCAUGACCUGAACAUGAUUUUCUGAAUGAUUGAUAAAAUACUGCAAUUUGGUUUUAUGGAAGACUGACAGUGUUUAAUUCGUAAGAGUCCCAGUGACACGUCAUUGGUGAGUUGGCCAGUUGUGUUGAUUUGAAACUUGAAAGUAUGUUUCUGACAGAUUCAGUUACCAACUGGAAUGAAAUGUCGGUAUGCUCUUGUUAAAUCCCUUCCUUCUGAUUUAUUGGCUUAGUUACUAGUACAAGAUGCUAUACUGAACUUGUAUGGUUACUUCGUUAGCAAACUUAAUAGAAGUUAAUUUGAUACUAAAAACUUCUUCAGAAGGCUAAAGGGACCGAGGAAAUAAAUAAAGGAACGUUUCUGGAAUGUAUGGUUCACUUUUCUGGUUUUAACUUUUGUUUUUUACUUUAAAGAAAAUGGAAGGGGUCAUCUGAGGGAGCCAGACAAAAUAAAAUCACAAGAUUGACCCAUACAACUUUAUUUUCUUAGGUGAAUCUUUUCAAAUGCAAAAACAUAAUGAACUGUAUCUAUGUUGAUGUAAGUUCAAUUAUUUUUCCAUUGAAAUAGAUAGACCCAAAUAUUUAAUAGUAAGUAAAUACUUAAAAUAAGAAACAUAUAUAGAAUAUUUAAUAUUCUUAACAAACUUGCAGAACAAAAUGUCAAAACUAAAAGGAAAAUAGAUCUAUUUUAUAUUUUAGUAGGAGAAAAUUAAUAAAUUUGCACUAAUCUAUAUCUUAGAAAUGGAAAAUUAAUAAAUUUUCUUAUCAAUAAUGUUCUUAGAAAGGGAAUAGGAAAAUUGGGAUCACAAAAAUAACUUGCAAAUUUGAAGUUUGAAAUUCAGAAACUUUUACAUCAAAAAGCAUGUAGAACAUAGGAGUUUGUUUUUCCAAAAUUUGUUUCCCAAAUUCAUAAGAUUGUUGUUGAUUGUUUUUUGGUAGGCAUGACCGGUCCAAGACUGUAGAAAUCUUAGUAAAGAAUUUGAAAGUGUUUGCUACUUUUAAUGAAGAAUUGUUCAAGGAAAUCACACCGCUUUUGAUAUUGGAGAAUUUUAGGUAUGAGUAUAUAUAUUAGCAUCUUGUGGGUUUUGGUGUUAUCGUUAUCCAAAAAGUAAGCUUUAAUAGGAUUUCAAACAAUUUUCAGUUUUAAAAUUGUAAAUAGGCUACAUGAAUUUGUAUAUAGGACAAUUGUUUAUGCUGUUGUCUUCCUAGGAUGUGUUCUGUUCCAUAGUGCUCCAUUGGAGCAGGGACAAUUUUCACAGUUCUUGCAACAUUGAAGAUCAUGUCAGAACCAGUUAGCAUGACCCCUGAGGCUUUCUCUAUUCUUAUCCAAGUUGUGGCAUCUUUCGAUCGGCUCAAUACCUUUUUGCUUGCUGAAGAGUUAGGCAAUAAUAAAAUUGUAAGGAGUGUUAAGCAAAGUUCAGUUGGUGACAACAAUGCUGUAGAAAUUGAAGGUGAAAACUUUAUUUGAAAUUCCAGACUGCAGAGGUGAUUCCAUGAUUAUUUUUCUUCAGGUUUUAUUUCUGCCCACUAUGAGUUCUUGUUGCCUUUUUGUUUGAUGAGCAUCAGAUGAACUUGGUUGACUGGUUUAAGGGAAUGGUAACAAGUCGUGCAACGAUGAGCUAGUCAAGUAGAUAAAUAUAUUUUUCUAGGAUUAGUAUAAGGACUAAGUUUUUUAUGUACUUUGUAUCACUUUUCCUUUUCUUUUUUAUAUGGAAUGUUCAUAGAAUUUAAGUGCUAUAAGUAUUUUUUUUUCUUUUUUCAUUUUAUUUGCAUCACGAAGCAAACUUGUACAAUGAUUAUUGAUUAAUGAAAGAGGCUAUAAAAAUUUUA